CCUGGGCCACUGCCUCCCUUGGCGUGGCCCACCUCUCUCUCUCUGCUUUUUCUUUCCAUAUCAUCAGUAAGCUUUCUUGCAGUGGUUAAGACCUCCGAUUCUUCUUUGUAUCCUUACCAAGAACAGAGGCCCAUGGGAGGUGGGGUCUUCAGACUCUCCUCUGCUAACAUUUUGGUGCCAUGACUUGGGUUUUCUACUCUUGCUCCUGAUCUCCUCCCUGUCUGACCAUCACUCAAUCUGAGCCUGCCUCUUUGGACCAACACUGGAGAUUCAGAUGGGCCACUGGGCACAGAAAUGUCCCAAUCAAGAUAAACCACCUAAGACUGCCUGCUAUAAACGCCAUCAGCUAGGACACUGGGCAGCCCUAUGCCCCUCAAUCCAAAGGGACCGAGGACCAGAGGCUGCUACUCAGACUGCCCAAGACUGAGGAGGCCCCUCCAGUCGGCCCCAAAACAACAGAUCCACGACAUGGACUGGAACUGAGGGUACAAUUGGCUGUGGCCCAUAAGUCAACAUUUUCUUACUCAAUAUCGGGGCCGCCUGUUCUGCCUUGACUUCCUCCUCUGGACCCUUCUCCUCCCAGACCUGUACCACCAGGGGAGUCACCAGUGAGCCAAUCAGCAGGUCUUUUACCAUGCGCCUCUUCCGUGCCUGGGAAGGAUUUGGAUUCUCCCACAGUUUUUGACAUAUGCCUGACUGUCCCAGCCCACUCCCAGGGAGCGACCCACUACAAAAAUAGAAUGCCUCUCUCUCUCCCUCAAGGAGGGUCACAUGGACGCCAUCCAGGGGGCAACCUCUGGGAAAUUUCAUGCGCCACUAAUGAAGAUAAAAAUUCCUCCAGGCCAGGCUGGCUUCAACAAGUGAACCCACUGGCCCGAGACCAGGGAAAUUCCAGGAAAAGCUGAAAAUGCAACAUCAGUCACAACAGCUUUAAAGAACCCACAUAAAUUUCCCCCAAAGACACAAUAUCCCCUUAGGCCUGAAGCCCUCAUGGGACUUCAACCCAUCAUGUCCAAAUUCCUGUCCCACAGACUCCUUAUCGCCACAAAUUCACCAUGUAGUACCCCAAUAUUAGCAGUCAAGAAAAAGGACAGCACUUACUGCCUGGUCCAGGAUUUGUAUAUCAUUAAUGAGGCCAACAGUGAGGAAAC
ensembl:lncRNA